rnacentral:rRNA from 1 species
AGCGGAGGAAAAGAAACUAACAAGGAUUCCCCUAGUAACUGCGAGUGAAGCGGGAAAAGCUCAAAUUUAAAAUCUGGCGUGCCUUUGGCCGUCCGAGUUGUAGUCUGGAGAAGUGUUUUCUGUGCCGGACCGUGUACAAGUCCCUUGGAACAGGGCUUCAUAGAGGGUGAGAAUCCCGUCUUUGACAUGGACUACCGGUGCUCUGUGAUGCGCUCUCAACGAGUCGAGUUGUUUGGGAAUGCAGCUCAAAAUGGGUGGUAAAUUCCAUCUAAAGCUAAAUAUAGGCGAGAGACCGAUAGCGAACAAGUACCGUGAGGGAAAGAUGAAAAGCACUUUGGAAAGAGAGUUAAACAGUACGUGAAAUUGCUGAAAGGGAAACGCUUGAAGUCAGUCAUGUCUGCCAGGACUCAGCCUUGCUUGUUUUGCUUGGUGCACUUUCUGGUUUGACGGGCCAGUGUCGAUUUUGACCGUUGGAGAAAGGUGGAGGAAAUGUGGCACCUUUCAAGGUGUGUUAUAGUCCUCUGCUGUAUGUGACGGUUGGGAUUGAGGACCGCAGCAUGCCUUUAUGGCCGGGGGGUUACACCCCACGUUACAUGCUUAGGAUGCUGGCUUAAUGGCUUUAAGCGACCCGUCUUGAAACACGGACCAAGGAGUCUAACUUGCCUGCAAGUGUUUGGGUGGAAAACCCAAGCGCGCAAUGAAAGUGAUAGUUGAGACCUCUGUCAUGGAGGGCAUCGACGCCCGGACCUAAUCUACGGAGAUGGUUCUGCGGUAGAGCAUGCAUGUUGGGACCCGAAAGAUGGUGAACUAUGCCUGAAUAGGGUGAAGCCAGAGGAAACUCUGGUGGAGGCUCGUAGCGAUUCUGACGUGCAAAUCGAUCGUCAAAUUUGGGUAUAGGGGCGA